UACGGGGGGGGCAAGCGUUGUUCGGAAUUACUGGGCGUAAAGGGCUCGUAGGUGGCCAACUAAGUCAGACGUGAAAUCCCUCAGCUUAACUGGGGAACUGCGUCUGAUACUGGAUGGCUUGAGUUUGGGAGAGGGAUGCGGAAUUCCAGGUGUAGCGGUGAAAUGCGUAGAUAUCUGGAGGAACACCGGUGGCGAAGGCGACUACCUGGCCUGUUCUUGACGCUGAGGCGCGAAAGCUAGGGGAGCAAACGGG
rnacentral:rRNA from 1 species